rnacentral:tRNA from 1 species
GCUGUUGUAGCUCAAUUGGAUAGAGCAAUCCCGUCCUAAGGGAUAGGUUGGAGGUUCGAGUCCUCUCAACAGCA